UACGGGAGGCAGCAGUGAGGAAUAUUGGUCAAUGGGCGAGAGCCUGAACCAGCCAAGUAGCGUGAAGGAUGACUGCCCUAUGGGUUGUAAACUUCUUUUAUAAAGGAAUAAAGUCGGGUAUGGAUACCCGUUUGCAUGUACUUUAUGAAUAAGGAUCGGCUAACUCCGUGCCAGCAGCCGCGGUAAUACGGAGGAUCCGAGCGUUAUCCGGAUUUAUUGGGUUUAAAGGGAGCGUAGAUGGAUGUUUAAGUCAGUUGUGAAAGUUUGCGGCUCAACCGUAAAAUUGCAGUUGAUACUGAAUAUCUUGAGUGCAGUUGAGGCAGGCGGAAUUCGUGGUGUAGCGGUGAAAUGCUUAGAUAUCACGAAGAACUCCGAUUGCGAAGGCAGCCUGCUAAGCUGCA
rnacentral:rRNA from 1 species